UGAUGGCCUUAUCGAAGCUGUGGCACUUACAAUCUUAUAAAUAUCAUAGUCAAAAAAUGGCCAAUAAUAAUUCUUUUUUUGGUCGCAGAUUGAGUUGCAUAUUCGUUCUGUAUUACCAAAAAAAUGCAUGA